CCAGUUCUCUCAGUUCAGCUGGAAAGUCCAGGAGAGAGGAGGAGGGGGAUGGGGAUGGUGUGCCCAGGGAGGAGGAUGCUAUGGGUGAAGUUUGGCAGGGCACGUCCUCCUCGGUAGGUGGGCAUACAGGAAGUAGAGAUUCCUCCUCCUUGCUUGAGCAGGGUGGGUCCUCUAAGGAGAGUGGUGGUAGAGGAAGUACAGACUCCUCCUUCUGGCUUGAACCAAAGCUUUUAGUGCGCGGGGGGCCCGAGGCAUCUUUCUGUCUAGGCCGUGGUGUUUUAUCUCAUGUCUUUCUGUCUCUUGUCCUUGACAAAUGGGUGACGCAGGAAGUGAUACAGGUUGGAGGUGAAUAGUUUCACUCCAGCUUUGUUUAGAGAGAGUCUGUCUGCUCUGAAGUAAUGCAUGCGGUCCCAGAACAGCCUGAAGUUAUCAAUGAAGUUGACUUUGGUACAGGCAGUAGAUAGCCAUCGAUUCAGGGCAAACAGUCUAAAUCUCAUAUCUCCUCUUUUGAUUGGUGGAAGGGGGCCACUGAUGAAUACCUGAGCACUCAGGGAGCUGACUGUUUUUAAUCGUUCACUGAAAUCAUGUUUUAGUUUUUCAGAUUGUUCUGUUACAAUGUCAUUAGCUCCACAGUGAAUCACAAUAGCUGUCAGAGAGGGAUAUGAGGCCACUAUAUGCCCAAUUUUGCCUGUUUUGUCACAGACCACAUCCUUGGGGAAGCAGAGCACUUUGCUAUUUUUGCUCAUGUUUUGUAGAUCUUUUAUUGCAGAAUCACCCACAAUCAAUGUUUGAGGUUCCCCGUUUUUUGUUUUUCUCUCGGAUCUUACCCUGCUAUGCGGAGAUGAGGAUUCAGGAUUCCGGAACAGUGGAGCAAAUCUGUUGUGCAGUGGGAGGGAUGGCUGCUGCUGCUGGGGGAGAUUGUUUUUGAUUUUAGGGCCUGCCUUGGCAGCUAUCCACAGCUGCUUCUUACGCUGGACAGGUGUUGUAGAUAGUUUAGGCCAGUCAGUCUCAUCACAGAUCUCAGGGCGCUGGGCCCUAUUAAUACUCACACUACGUCUCGUCAGGUCUUAUUGCUGAUCAAUGGAUCGCAUCACCCAUCUAGGAUUAUAUUUGGGAAAUCCGGCGAUGGCGUGAAAUCCUCGUUUUAUUUCGGCUUGUUGCUGAUGUGUGUUUGGGAACUGGAUGUAAAUGGAGGCCAGAGAAAUUAUUACAUCCAACUUUGCCGGCAUGAUUCUGCUUAGCGUUGGCUGCGAAAUAUUGCAUAUGACUUCAAUCUCAAGCUGAAAUGUUCCGGUUAGGGUAGAAGGGAGCUGGAUGUACUCUGGGAUAGCUUUGGUGUAUUUUGUUUCUCACUCCGACACAGGUAGUAAAUCACAGCAUAAAUCCAUUAAAAUGUUUUGCGGAAAGCGGUACCUGCUGAGAAUGCUGCUGUUCUCACUGAACAGAUCAGCAUGUUCUUUAAAAACGCGCUCCCUGCGAAGGAGCAGACACAGGGAGCAGUCCUCCAAUAGUGCAAAAUAAACCACGAUACCAUGACCUGGAUGAAUGAGAAUCUACAUGGACAUAUUGGAUCACACUUUGGGUUGGGUACCCUUCAGCUGGUCCGGGAGCACGAGAAAACUUGCAGGAAGAUGGCGGAUUACAGAAACCACCUCCGCUUCAACCUAAGAUGCAGACAGCAAGGACUUGUUCCCAAAAGCCUACGCUUGUUUUCCACCGUUAAAGGGCACAGAGCAGACAGCAUCCUUCCCAGGACACACAAGCAGCUCCUCAAUGAAAGGAUUAGGCAGGUCAAUUUCACCAUCGAGGCCUUACAAGCUAAAAUAUAUCACACCAAGGAGACACUGGCAUCCCGACUUCCAGAGGACAUCCUCAACAAUGUCCACAACUUUGUUGACAAGGCUCAGAACUCUCAACACAACAAAGGCAAGACAAGACAAUCACAGAAAUUUGACAGACUGCUCUCUAAGCAGUCAAAGACUCCAUCAGAACUUGUUUGGAGGGACAAAACUGACAGCCACACAGACACCAACAUGCAAGAAAAGUGGGUGAAGAAUUUGUCAAACAGGGUUCUCACUCAGCCGGAAAAGGAAGUCCUUUACAAAGGACAACAUUUUGCAGUUACCCCAGAACAGAUCCCGGUGGUAGACCUUAUCACAGCCACGGAGUCAGCGAUCCGCAACAACAAUCUGGCGGUCACGGAGGCAGAGCAACUUAGGUUGAAGGUAACAGCUGCUCUCUCGAAUGCCAAAACACCUCCUUCCAACCUGACCAUGCAGGAAAGAAAAGCCUUGGCAUCACUGCAAAAAGACGAAAACAUCACCAUCCUGCCUGCAGAUAAGGGGAGAUGCACUGUGGUACUCAACACCAGGGAUUACCAUGACAAGGUAACAAGCCUUCUCAGUGACACUGCCACCUAUGAAACUCUAAAAUGGGAUCCCACCAACAGCUACAAAAAGAAAGUUAUCAGUGCACUUCAACAGCUCGAAAAGGAUGGAGUUAUCGACCGCCCACUCUAUUACCGGCUGUACCCAGGGGAAGCUGUCCCGUGCAUUUAUGGAUUACCUAAAAUACACAAGGAAGGGGCCCCCCUUAGACCCAUCAUCAGCAGCAUUAACUCAGUCACAUACAAAGUGGCAAAACAUUUGGCCACCAUCCAAGCUCCUCUUGUCGGCCACACCACUCACCACGUCAGAAACUCACAGGACUUUGCAGAGAAAAUCAAGGACAUCAGGCUGGACCCAGAUGAAACCAUGGUUUCCUAUGAUGUCACAUCACUUUUCACAAGUAUUCCAACAACAGAGGCAGUCCAAGCUGUAAGACAGCGCCUCUUACAGGACAGCACACUGGAAGUCAGAACCAACCUAACCCCCAACCACAUCUGCUCCUUAUUGGACAUCUGCCUCAGCACCACCUAUUUCCAGUUCAGAGAGCGCCAUUACAGACAGAAACAUGGAUGCGCUAUGGGCUCCCCGGUUUCUCCAAUAGUGGCAAACCUGUACAUGGAAGAGGUAGAGAGGAAGGCCCUUACCUCCUUCAAAGGAGCAGCACCUAGCCACUGGUUCAGAUAUGUGGAUGACACCUGGGUUAAGAUCAAAACACAUGAAGUAGAGGCCUUCACUGACCAUAUCAACACAGUGGACAGCAACAUCAAGUUCACCCGUGAAGAUGUCAAGGACAAUGUGUUGGCCUUUUUGGACUGUGCUGUACACUUGGGGGCAGAUGGGUGUCUCAACGUUGAAAUGUACAGGAAACCAACACACACGGAUCAGUAUGUACUUUUUGAUUCCCACCAUCCUCUGCAGCACAAACUGGGUGUCAUCAGAACACUCAACCACCGGGCUGAGAAUAUCCCCACGAAGAAAGAAGGUAAGGAAAAGGAACAGAAGCACAUCAAAAAUGCCCUGACAACCUGUGGAUACCCUAAGUGGGCCUUUGUAAAGAACAGAAAGAGAAAUAACACUGAACACGAAAGGGAGGAGAGACGCAAGAGGACCAUAAUCCCUUACGUUGCCUGUCGGAAAAACUCAAGGGGAUCUUUGGCAAACACCAUAUUCCUGUUCACUUCAAGCCUGGUAACACACUAAGGCAGAAGCUAGUCUGUCCCAAGGACAAAACACCGAGACAUAAACAGAGUAAUGUGGUGUAAGCUGUCCAGUGCAGCGAGGAAUGCUCGGACCUGUACAUUGGGGAAACUAAACAACUGCUUCACAAGCGCAUGGCUCAACACAGGAGAGCCACUUCCUCAGGUCAGGACUCAGCUGUCCACCUUCACUUGAAGGAUACGGGUCACUCUUUCGAGGACAGCAUUGUACAGGUGUUGGCUCGAGAAGACAGAUGGUUUGAAAGAGGAGUUAAAGAAGCCAUCUUUACCAGGCUGGAGAAACCUUCUCUGAACAGAGGGGGUGGACUCAGGCACAAUCUCUCCGGCACUUACAAUGCAGUUCUCAGCUCUCUCCCCAGGAAGCUCUACAAACAUUCACAUCUGGAACCACAUGACCAAGGGGACAUGAGUCAUGUGGUCACAUAGAUAUAACCAUGACCUGGAUGAAUGAGAAUCUACAUGGACAAACCACGAUACUUGUAUUUGUACCUGUAAGACUUUUUUUGAAGUUGUCCUGUCACAGCAGAUUUUUAUAGCUUGUCUCACCAAUCAUUCAAAAUGUCUGCUAAAUAACUAAUUGAUAAAUUUUGUGUAGAGGCAACAGAGAACAUGUGUGAAGUUUGAGAUUGCUGAAUGCUAUGACUCCUUUUAAUGGGUUCUAUUUGUAGUUUUACUGUCCUACCACUAGGUUUUGUGUGCACACAUGGUUAGAGUUGUGCUUUGUAAAUUGUAAAUUGUAGUUGUAAAUUUACGCACGUUCCUAAGCACAAGUACAGGUUGAUAAAUUCCAUACUUUGCGUGGGAAUGUUCGUACACACUCAUUAUGCACACAUCUGUGCGUACACACAGUUGAUACACUACAGGCCAAAAGUUUGGAAGCAAGGCCAUUACUGGCCGAACAGUUGGGAGUAACUUCAAGCUUUUAUUCACAAUGCUUUUUUAAAAAUCCAGCAUGAGUUUUAUGUAUUUUAGGAUGUAUUUACUCCAUGAUCAGAUGUUGCUUUCAUGGAAAUGCACCAUUUUACUCCAUUUACCUUUAGAUUUAAAUUGAUGUUAACAGACCAUUGCUUAAUAUAUGUCAGCAAAAGAUAAUAAGGGCUUAGUUUUAGGGUUGAAAACAUAUGCAAGAGUUACAACUUCAGUGCAAAAGCAAAAAAACAAAUUACAGUUGGAUUAUUUAUUUCAACUAUUUGGCUUUUGAGAGUCUGCAUACAAAAAUCCUAAUAAAUCUCAACUGCAUUCAAACUACAGCAAAAAUGGCUUGAAAGAAGCAGCUGAGUAAAGAAACAAAAGUACAUAUUUGUACAUUGAGGAAAGAAGGAUACACAGAAAGAGAAAUUGCAAAACGCCUAAAGGUGUUUAACAAAGGAGUCCACUACACUCUGAAGAGACCAGAGGAACCUGGAAGUUAAGAUGAUAGAAAAAGACCUGGACAAAAGAGAGUUACUACAAAUGCAGAGGAUAAAUAUAGCAUUGUCACCAGUAAGAGAGAUCGGCAAAAGACAGCACCAAAAAUAAGGGAGGAAAUCAACAUGACAAGGUCGAAACCCAUAUCUCUGACAACCAUGAAACGACGUUCGAGAAAGGCUGGUCUAAAGGGUUGUGUAUCUGCAAAAAAACACUACUUCUUCCACAGAACAAGAAAAAGAGAUAUGAGUGGGCAAAAGCUCACAAAAAUUGGACUUAUGAUAACUAGAAACAAGUUUGCACUGUUUGGUUCAAAACAUAGAGUCUAUGUCCACAAACAAACUGGUGAACCUCUGAAAGCCCCAUGUGUUACACCCACAAUUCAGCAUGGAGGUGGUAGUUCCAUGUUAUGGGGAUGUUUUGCAGGUGAUGGAGUAGGAGAUUUGUUUGAAGUAAACGGUAUCAUGAAGAAGGAACAGUACCACUCCAUCCUCCAGCACCAUGCUGUUCCAUCUGGACUAAGACUUGUGGCUCAUAAGUUUGUUUUGUAGCAAGACAAUGACCCUAAGCACUCUGCCAAGCUCUGUCAGGGUUACCUACACAAAAAAGAAGAGGAAGGUGUUCUUCAAAAGAUGGUUUGGCCCCCUCAGUCUCCAAACCUUUCUCAACUGAGCUUGUGCGGGAUUAAUUGGAUCGAUCGGUCAGAAAAACGCAUCCCAUGAAUCAGCAGUCUCUUUUUAAUGAACUUAAGAAAGCUUGGAAUGCAAUCCCUGGAACAUACCUUAAAAAACGUGUGGAACGAAUGCCUGGUAUAUGCCAAGCUGUUGUUAAAGCCAGAGGAGAUUACUUUAAAGAAAGCAAAGUCUAAGCAACAAUAACUCAAAUACCUUAUAACUAUAGUCAAAAUGUCUUCUGAUAAGUUACUCUUUACACAACAGUCAUUUUUAUUGUGUUGCUAAUUAUAUAUAUGAAACUAUGAUCUUUUUUGUACAAAUCUGAUCUUGCUUCUAAACUUUUGGCCUGUAGUGUAAAUGAGGCCCCUGGAGUUUCCUCUUCUUCAUGAGCUGAAACUUACUGCAGCUACUUGAUGCUACCUGGAAUCCUCUGAGUCAGGGGUGAGUAAAACAAAGUAACCUAACAUUGUUGAUCAGAGGGGACAUUUCUGUACAAGAUGAUAAACUGGUGACAUUUACAGCGUUAGGGCAUGUUUACAGAGGCUUCACAUGCUGAGGUUUGUAACUGACAGGUUUGGUGCUGAAAAUAAGAGAAACAGAUGAGUCAAAGAAGGAUAGAUGGAGUGUAAUGAAAAGAUAAAAUCAAAGUAAAUGUACACACAAACAAAUAAAACUAUCUAUAAAGCACUUUUCAUGCAAAUUGUGUAACACAAAGUGCUAUACUGUUUAUUAAAACAGCCCUACGUCCUUCCAUCCAACCACCCUACCCCCACAACCAUACAACUGGCAUCCAACAGUCCCAUACACAGUCACACCCAAAGCAACACACACCCACACCCACACACCUGCAGAGUAUAGAUGAACCUGUUGAGAGAGCAGCUGCCCACAGCCACAGGAUACAGCCAUAGACUGUAUAUAGAAUGGACAGAGUCUGCCUCCUCGCUGGGUGAAGCCACUCCGAGAACAGCACCCUCUGUUGACGGGCUGCAGUACAGGUCAUAAAUCCCGCCUCCGCCAGCAAAGCUUAUAGAGCUGUGGACAAACUUUAGAAAUUUAUUACACAGAGCAUAAUUUUUUCUCCCCCCUGCUUUUGAUGUUGACAUGUAGUUACUGUAAGACUGGUUUGUGCUCAAGUCCUCUUUUUUUUGUGCAGCUCCGUUUUUAAAAGUUAUUAGGGGGUUCAUGUUUGCUAUGAUUGACACCUGAUACAGCCUAUGGGCAUUCAGGGAUUGAGCUCACCCGGGGGAUACGCUGUUUGAGCAGAGCGUCAUCACACUCUCUGCAACUGCGCGGCCGAAUGCGCGCAUUGCUACUGCGCAGUGCUGGUUUCAGAAAAUGAAGAAAAAUCCCGGAAAUACCGAGAGCUAUUUGGCUUCAAAUCCGUAUACAGGCGGUAGGCAGAACCAAGUUGUCCAUAGUAUAUACAGUCUAUGAUACAGACACAGGGCCAGAGCAGAGAUGUAGGAGGCACAACCUCCCCUGAGUCCACUGGACAGGGCCCUGCAACCACAGCCGACAACUGCUCCAGGUGAAAAAGGCUCCCCAGAGGAAACAUUUGGAGUCCUUAAAAUGAUAAAAGGAUAAAAAUAAGUUAAAAAAUUAUAGUGGAAAGAUGCCUCGCUGUGAGUGUGUAUCCUAACUUUGGGAAUGACUCGGAGCCUACUGCUAGAGGAGUGCAGGGCCCAAAAAAGUUCAGAGGGUAAAAGCAGUUCUGAGAAAUAAGAAGAUGCAAGACCACUAAGACAUGUAAUAAGUAAAAAAACUAAAAAAAUAAAAACUAAAAAAAUCAAUCCUAAAACACAUAGGGAGCCAGUGCAGUGAUUCUAAAAAGUGGUAUUAUGUGGGCUGGUGUAAUAUAGCAUCAAGGAAACCCUGUGUGUGAAACUCACAUAUUCCUCACAGGAAAGGUUCCUUAUCUGGUCCCAGGUCACAGGGUCAUAUAAAUCUUUCCAGACUUGUUUGCACUUUCAGGUUUCCCAACUGACCCAACCAGAGGUUGAUUCAGAACUUUGGCUCUUCUCAAUUGGUCAAUUUGAAGAACAGAGACAGAGUUGUUUAUUACCUAAUCCAAGGAAAAGUCUAAGGAGCAGGACACUUACCAAGACCUCUGUCAUAAAAACCUGCUGGACAAGGUACUGAUAAAAAACUGUAUUCCUUUGGAGAAAUAAUACAAAUGACUGAUAAUGACAUCUUAUGCACUCAACAAUGUACUAAUCUGUCUAAUCGUGAAAUUUGUGUUAAAAUGAGAUGUGUCCCAUUCUUCUAGCCAAGUUAUCACUCUAACAGAAUAAAUCCUUUAUUCUUUAUUUUCUAUAGACCAACAGCUUUUCAGACUGUUUUAUGAACUUGUAAGAGUUAAAUGUAUCAACUAGGAAUCAUAACUGUACUCUAAGUAACAAGAAAAAUUAGAAAUUUUUGCUUUAUAUUUUAAUAAUUUGUUUAGUUUCUUUAGACAAAUAGGUUGUUAUUGAUGUAAUUGAAUAAUCUGAAUGUAAGUACAGAACAGGCCAAAAGUUUAGCCACACCUUCUCAUUCAAUGUCUUUGCUUUAUUUUUCUAUAUGACUAUUUACAUUGUAGAUUAGUCAAAACUAUGAAUGAACACAUGUAGAAUUUUGUAUUUAUAAUAAAAGUGUGACAUAACUGAAAACAUGUUUUAUAUUCUAGUUUCCUUAAAAUAGCCACCCUUUGCUCUUGAUGACAGAAGUACUUAGUGACUGACUGUCAGUCACAAAGUAACCCUGACAAGGCACACCUGUGAAGUAAAAACCAUUUCAGGUGACUACCUCAUGAAGCUCAUUGAGAGAACAGAAAAGUUUGCAGCGCUAUCAAAAAAUCAAAGGGUGGCUACUUUAAGGAAUCUAAAAUAUAAAACAUGUUUUCAGUUAUUUCACACUUUUUUCUUAAGCACACGAUUCCACGUGUUCAUUCAUAGUUUUGAUGCCCUCAGUGAAAAUCUGCAAUUUAAAUAGUUUUGAGAAUAAAGUUAAUGCAUUAAAUGAGAAGGUGUGUCAAAACUUUUGGGCUGUACUGUAUAUAGAAUCCAUUAUUUAUCAUAAUGAGGUUCAUUUAUAUGUAUUUACACUUUUGUUUUUCAAAAAUUGGAUGUGUUACUAUCUGUUUCAUUUCAGAGUAAUUUAGCAUGUUCAGUCCUCUUUUGAAAAGUGAUACUUAAAAACCCAAUGUGAAUGUUUUUUACAUUUCUUUCUAUGUGAUUAGUUAAAAUAAUUUAUUAUGAACAAAGCAUUCAACAACAUUAUUCAUAGUGAGUGAGAAUCAGAUCUGACUUCUUUACCAGCUAAAAGUACAUGUAGUGCGGCAGGUUCGUGGUGAGGACCCAGAGGCAGACACUGAGACUGAGAUAAACUUAAAGAGAUUUUAAUGUCCAAACAAAAGGGGUAGAUAAUGCAACAGAGGAUGUCCGGUUGGCUGGCUGGCUGGCUGGCUGGCUGUCGUGUGGGCUGGAGACACUGCAGGAAAAACCAGAGGAGAUGGAAGUUAUUGUACAUGCACAGAAUCACGAGGAGCAAAGUUCUGAUGAUUAUACAAACGAAGUUGGCCAGGAGACGCGUCUUUACCACGAGGAAGGGUAGACAAUACUCAGGCGCUGAGAGUGAGGGCUGCAGGCUUCUUAAAGUCCCUUGAUUGGAGAUGUGGAGCAGGUGUGUCGACUCACUCAGCCUCAGCGCCGGGGGAGGGGAGGAAGCCCUGGAAAAGAGUAAAGCCAGACCAGGCAAACAGGGAAAUACAGGAAGUCCAGCCAAAAUAAAACAGGAUGAGGAGGCGUCUCACCACAGUACAAGUUAGAAUAAUCAGGGAACCUGAAGGUAGCAGGAGACCAGCGACCCCUCCUCUCUCCCCUCACACUCACACACCCCAGUUCGAAGAACAUAAAAACAGUAAAGUUAGGGUGCUCAUGCCCUCUUUCUCUUUGGAGCAGUCUCUUACUCUGUUGUUAAGUCCAGCUCUUUCAUUGUCUUCUCGUACUUUUCUAAUUUUUCCCGCCAAUUUUUUUAAGUUUUACAUCACAUGUUCAUUCACAUUGUAUGAUUUUUUUUUGACAUCAUCUUAGUUCAAGUUUUGAAACGUCAACUAUUUUUGUACGCCUCUGAACACCACAUAGCAGGCCCAAAGUCAUCCUCUGAGCCAGAGUUUUGCGGUGAGACUGAAGGAACAGCAAAAGGAUAAAUAAGGCAAUGGUUCUGCAUUCAGGCCUGUGUGCUGUGACUCCUGGCCCAUCUUGUUCUGACUUAAGUCCUCUGAUGAGCCAAACCUAUCAAACCGCCAGUAGCCCAGACCUUUGGUGAACCUGCUACAUCCUACCCCAGGACCAGCCCCACUUAUAUUGAGUAUGCAUACCUCAAGAGCUCCAAACAGGGCUGAUGCUGUUUGAUGCAUCCAUGAUUCAAACAAUAACCAAUUAGAGUUAUCCUAAAUUCAUCCAAAUCCACAUCCAAAUUUAUCAGUACAGUUAAUGUAGGUUAAUAUUUCAGAGCAUAUUCAUUCCUCAUUUAUUGCAUGUAUAUUGUACCAUCAUUUAUCCUUUAAUAUACAGUUUAUUUAUUUUUUUAAGUUCUUAUCUAUUUGUGUUCUUCCAGAAGUGGAGUCCCUGAAAUAAGAAAUUUGGCUUGAGAUAUGAGAUUGAUUUAAAAUUGAUGUAAGAUUGACUUAAUGUUUGAUUUUUGAAUUAAACUUUUGGUUUUCUUUUUUUUCCCCACAAUUAAAGGUGGGUGGCGCCCUUAUUAACAAGUGCAUAAAUAUCAUAAUUUCAGAUUAUUAUCAAAUAUUCAUAUAAAGACAUUUAUUAUAAAUUCAGAUCGCUACAUCAAUAAACCCUGACAUUGACAAUCAGAAAGGUUUGUGUCCAAAACUUCUCUUCAGCAGUAAUGAAUCUAUUGCCAUUGAGCUACAUCUUAAGUCUGAGCUUAACAAACCCAAACCCCAAGAAAGAGUUAAUGUGCCAUCUUAUCACACCUAUAUAUAAAGGUGAACAUAGCUCUGCUGCCCUCCAGAGGCAGAAAUGAGGAACUAUAACCACAGUCAGGGAAGAAGCCUUUGAGUCUCCAGAUGAACAGAGAGGCUUAAAAACCUUUAUUUACUGUCUGAAAAGCCAGAUAUAAUAAACCUUAAAUACUACAGAAUGUUGAUCUACAUUCUAAAUGUGUGUUUGAGUUAUAUUUUGAUUUUUAACAUUGAAAUACAGUACAGGCCAAAAGUUUGGACACACCUUCUCAUUCAAUGUCUUUUCUUUAUUUUUUAUAUGACUAUUUACGUUGUAGAUUAUCACUGAAGGCAUCAAAACUAUGAAUGAACACAUGCAGAGUUUUGUACUUUUAAAAAAAGUUUGAAAUAUCUGAAAACAUGUUUUAUAUUCUAGUUUCCUUAAAAUAGCCACCCUUUGCUCUUGAUGACAGAAGUACUUAGUGACUGACUCUGUCAGUCACAAAGUAACCCUGACAAGGCACACCUGUGAAGUAAGAACCAUUUCAGGUGACUACCUCAUGAAGCUCAUUGAGAGAACAGCAAAAGUUUGCAGCGCUAUCAAAAAAGCAAAGGGUGGCUACUUUGAGGAAUCUAAAAAAUAAAACAUGUUUUCAGUUAUUUCACACUUUUUUCUUAAGCACAUGAUGCCUUCAGUGAAAAUCUACAAUCUAAAUAGUUUUGAGAAUAAAGAAAAUGCCUUAAAUGAGAAGGUGUGUCCGAACUUUUGAGCUGUACUGUAUGUUAUAAAAUAGGAUAUAAAGUAAGUUAAGCCACCAAGUCCCAUGCAUUGGGGUGGGAAUUUAUUAAGAAUUUAGCUAUUCUGAUUCCAUUAUCUAUACUGCUUAUUGCAAUGAUUCCUUAUCAGUUCUCUUAAUGAUUCUCAUUGAGUGAGAAAUAAGAUGAUACAAAUGGGUUUGUUUGCAAGAACUCUUUACCAUUGUCACCAUUGGACAGAAGAUAUGGCACAUCCAUGCACUAAUAAUUUGUUGUGACCUACCCUUUGACCACAAAUCUGCUCACAGCUCGGUGACUUUCAUUUAUCUUUGCCUCUGUCAUUUUACUUUUCUCUGCCUUGAUGAAAGGGGCUGCCAAAAGUGUGCGAAAGCUACCCACCCAACACAUAGAAACUGUAAACAACAAAAGAGUAAACACAUGUGAAUGAACAUCAUGAUUAAUAAUACUAACAUUCAGUUAAUUCAGUUACAUUAUUCAAUUACAACCUAGUGGUUAAAAAUACUAAAUAAAUGAUUAAAAUAUAAACCAAACAUUUCUAAACUAUUCCUGUUACUUUGAGUAAAGUUAUGAUUCAUAUUCAUUAAAUGUA